rnacentral:rRNA from 1 species
AAAAGGUGUUUUUAGAGACAAAGGGACGGUACCAUCAAAGGAAAAAUCGGCUAACUACGUGCCAGCAGCCGCGGUAAUACGUAGGAUCCGAGCGUUGUCCGGAGUUACUGGGUGUAAAGGGUGCGUAGGCUGUUCUGUGCGUCAGAGGUGAAAUCCACGGGCUUAACUCGUGGGGUGCCUUUGAUACGGCAGGGCUUGAGUACGAGAGAGGUGCGUGGAAUUCCUGGUGUAGCAGUGAAAUGCGUAGAUAUCAGGAGGAACACCGGUGGCGAAGGCGGCGCACUGGCUCGUAACUGACGCUGAGGCACGAAAGCGUGGGGAUCAAACAGGAUUAGAUACCCUGGUAGUCCACGCCUUAAACGAUGCAUGCUUGGUGUUGGUCUCGCAAGAGAUCAGUGCCGUAGUUAACAUGAUAAGCAUGCCACAUGGGAGACG